rnacentral:lncRNA from 1 species
AGUGGGCAAUUACUGACCUCAGCUCUAUGCACCACUAGGCCCCAAAAGAAAAGGGUAAGUAUGAGAAGCAAUAAAAGUAAUGAUGAUAACUGCAAUAUAAAAGUAUAAAUGAAAUGCUAGUCUACUGUGUCUCAAGUAAGCAUGAUAUCAUGGUGAUGUACAUCUACGCUAUCAUAAGAUAAUAUGUCCAAUGCAUACUAAUAUGCCUUAACAUAAUGAACAAGUAAACCUCACGAUGCAAUAUGUCAAUGCAUAAGGAGUAAGCUCUAUCAAAGCAACCUAGUAUACUAUGAUGCAAUGAAUGAAACAGGCAAGUAUACUAUAUAUCCCAAUGCUAUGUCAUGAGCAUGUCAAGUAAUCCAACUACUAAGCCUAUCUAGUAGUGAUUAUUCAUUCUCAACACUGUGUCGAUUUUCAUUUCCAAUUAAGGACCUACCAAAGGUAGUCCAGCUUGUGCCGCCUAAGUGCCUGUGGUAGCCCAACAUCCCUACUCUUGGAAUGUGUCUGUCCCACUCGACCCCGUAGGCUUCUCAAUACCGCACGAGCGAACAUAAGUCGCAUAGGCUAACUCCGGAGUGCCGGCUUGUAGGGAGCGACCCUCACAAGCAUAUGCGAAUGAGCACAAAUGGCAAGCAAGCGUGAUCAUCGUCUCAAGUACCAAAUCAUCAUGUCUCUAGCAUGGUAUUGGCC